GACGAACGCUGGCGGCGUGCCUAACACAUGCAAGUCGAACGAGGUCCAUGCAGUGGCAACACUGCGGAAGACCUAGUGGCGAACGGGUGAGUAACACGUGAGGAACCUGCCCCGAAGACCGGGAUAACCCUCCGAAAGGAGAGCUAAUACCGGAUACCCCCACCGGAUCGCAUGAUCUGGUGAGGAAAUGGAUUCCGCUUCGGGAGGGCCUCGCGGCCUAUCAGCUAGUUGGUGGGGUAACGGCCCACCAAGGCAUCGACGGGUAGCUGGUCUGAGAGGACGAUCAGCCACACUGGGACUGAGACACGGCCCAGACUCCUACGGGAGGCAGCAGUGGGGAAUCUUGCACAAUGGGCGGAAGCCUGAUGCAGCAACGCCGCGUGCGGGAUGACGGCCUUCGGGUUGUAAACCGCUUUCAGCAGGGACGAAGCGUGAGUGACGGUGCCUGCAGAAGAAGCACCGGCUAACUACGUGCCAGCCGCCGCCGUAACAC
rnacentral:rRNA from 1 species